GCCGGUGUAGCUCAGUCGGUUAGAGCAGGGGAAUCAUAAUCCCAAGGUCGUUGGUUCAAUUCCGACCGCCGGUA
rnacentral:tRNA from 3 species